UACGUAGGGGGCAAGCGUUAUCCGGAUUUACUGGGUGUAAAGGGAGCGCAGGCGGCACGGCAAGCCUGAUGUGAAAGCCCGCAGCCCAACCGCGGGACUGCAUUGGGAACUACCGGGCUGGAGUGCCGGAGAGGUAGGCGGAAUUCCUAGUGUAGCGGUGAAAUGCGUAGAUAUUAGGAGGAACACCAGUGGCGAAGGCGGCCUACUGGACGGUGACUGACGCUGAGGCUCGAAAGCGUGGGGAGCAAACAGG
rnacentral:rRNA from 1 species